AGCGAACGCUGGCGGCGUGCCUAACACAUGCAAGUCGAACGUGAAAAGGGAAACCUGUGUCAAGUGGCGUACGGGUGAGUAACGCGUAGGUAAUCUACCCCAGAAUCUGGAAUAACCUGCCGAAAGGCGGGCUAAUACUGGAUAGAGCGAGGGAACUCGUAAGAGAGUUUUUCGGGAAAGGGAGCCCGCAAGGGCCUUCGUUCUGGGAUGAGCCUGCGUCUCAUUAGCUAGUUGGUAAGGUAACGGCUAACCAAGGCGAGGAUGAGUAGCUGGUCUGAGAGGAUGAUCAGCCUAACUGGAACUGGAACACGGUCCAGAAUCCUACGGGAGGCAGCAGUGGGGGAUCUUGCGCAAAGGACGAAAGGCUGAAGCAGCCACGCCGCGGGAGUGAAGAAGGCCUUCGGGUUGUAAAGAUCAGUCGGAUGGGACGAACAUCUUCAUAGUGAAUAGCUAUGAGGACUGACGGUACCAUCAAAAGAAGCACCGGCUAACUCCGUG
rnacentral:rRNA from 1 species